rnacentral:snRNA from 1 species
GAAAUCUCGUGUGGAACAAAA